GAAACCGUUCAGGGGUAAACCUGAGAAACCCAAAAGAUCGAAUGGGGAGAUUCAUCGUCGACGAGGCUGGCUCCCGUCGGUGCGCGAUACUCCGGGUGGGACCUGUGUGGUUCCCAUUAGCGAGGGUACACCACCGGCGGCGAAUGUUCCGGCCACGUAGUCGUGCACUUCUCCCCUAGUAGAACGUCGCGACCCGUUGCGUGUCGGUCUACGGCCCGAGCGGUUGCCUGUUUCGUUGCUCCCCGGAGCACGCGACAGACCCUCGGUCGCCCGGCCGGCUGCGCGACGGUACUCUCGGACGGUAUCGGGCCGCAACCAAUCCAUUCUCUCGAAUGUGUGUGCGUCAGGCCCGCCGCAAGCCCGGUCAGUUCUUACCCGGAGGCACGGACCUGGUGCCGUCCCCGGGCCUGGCCAGCUGUUAGCAGGCGGUGUCCUUGGACUGGCCAAGCUUCGAAUUACCGGUCGGCGACGCUACUGCUUUGGGUACUCUCAGGACCCGUCUUGAAACACGGACCAAGGAGUCUAACAUGUGCGCGAGUCAUUGGGAGGAAAGAAACCUAAAGGCGGAAUGAAAGUGAAGGUCGACCUUGGCGUCGACCGAGGGAGGAUCGGCCGCGUUACGAUGCGGCCCCGCACUCCCGGGGCGUCUCGUUCUCAUCGCGAGAAGAGGCGCACCUAGAGCGUACACGUUGGGACCCGAAAGAUGGUGAACUAUGCCUGGUCAGGACGAAGUCAGGGGAAACCCUGAUGGAGGUCCGUAGCGAUUCUGACGUGCAAAUCGAUCGUCGGAACUGGGUAUAGGGGCGAAAGACUAAUCGAACCAUCUAGUAGCUGGUUCCCUCCGAAGUUUCCCUCAGGAUAGCUGGCACUCGCUCGUUCCUACGGGAACGUGCGCGAGUUUCAUCUGGUAAAGCGAAUGAUUAGAGGCCUUGGGGCCGAAACGACCUCAACCUAUUCUCAAACUUUAAAUGGGUGAGAUCUCUGGCUUGCUUGGAUCAUGAAGCCACGAGAUAAAUAAUCUCUAUUAUAUAUAUCGAAUCAGAGUGCCAAGUGGGCCAAUUUUGGUAAGCAGAACUGGCGCUGUGGGAUGAACCAAACGCGGAGUUAAGGCGCCUAAGUCGACGCUUAUGGGAUACCAUGAAAGGCGUUGGUUGCUUAAGACAGCAGGACGGUGGCCAUGGAAGUCGGAA
rnacentral:rRNA from 1 species